CCAUCAUCUGUGCACUGUACGGUUCUGGACAUCAGCAAUAACAGAUGAUCGCAGAGCUGCGGUGCAGGAGACUCACUAUUUUCAGGUCAUCACAAGAGAAAUUAAUUCAUGGCAGAAGAUCUGGGGAGCAUUACAAACUGCAGGAGAAUUAAAUGGAGAGAAAAAUGGCCAACAAAGAGGAUGAGGGAAUCAAAUGAAUCAGAAAAGAAAAAGACACGGAAACUAGUCAGACGGAGCAGCAUUAAUAGUGGAAAACCAAACUUUUCUGGUGAUCCAGUUUUAUUCUGAGUGAGACAGAUGAGACAGGAGCAGUUUCUUUUCACCAGACCAACAGAAUAUUCAUUAUAUUCGGUCUCUGAUUAAAUGCUGUAUAUUUUAUAAUGAUUAUAUUUCAGUGUUAUCAUAGACCUACUGUAUAUAAUAAACCAAUAUCAACUACAUGCACUUUAAAAAAAAAAAAAAAAAAAGUAAA